rnacentral:rRNA from 1 species
GGAAUUCGCCCUUGAAGGUUGAUGCUGGCUCAGGACGAAAGCUGGCGGCGUGCCUAACGGAUGCUGGUCGAGCGAUGAAAGAUAAGUGUUGGUCAUCGGACCAUAGCAUUUCUGGAUUAACGGCGGACGGGAGAUUAACAUGAGAGCCACCUGCCUAUCACAUUGGGAUAUCCUCCGGAAACUGGGAUUAAUACCGAAUGAUACAUAUUGGGAACCUUAUCGAAAUGUCAAAGAUUUCUCGGUGAUAGAUGGGCUCGCGUCUGAUUCGCUAGUUGGUGAGAUAAGAGCCCACCAAGGCAGAUGAUCAGUAGCCCGCAUGAGAGGGGGAUCGCCCACCUGGGUCCUGCGACACGCCCCAAAGUCGUACGGGAGGCAGCAGUGGGGAAUAUUGCCCAAUCGAGGGAACUGCGAGGCAGCGACGCCGCGUGAGCGAAGAAGGAAUUAGACUGGUACAGUUAUGUCUUAGGGGAAUAUAAUGAGGGUACCAUAGAAGUAAGCCUCGGCUAACUACGUGCCAGCAGCCGCGGUAAUACGUAGGGUGCGAGCGUUGUCCGGAAUUAUUGGGUGUAAAGGGUUCGUAGGCGGUCAUACAUGUCAGAUGUGAAAUCUUCAGGCUUAACCACACCAAGCAUCUGAAACUGUAUAACUAGAGUGGAGGAGAGGUAAGUGGAAUUCGUAGUGUAGCGGUGAAAUGCGUAGAUAUUACGCAGAACACCAGUAGCGAAGGCGACUUACUGACCUGUCACUGACGCUGAUGCACGAAAGCGUGGGUAUCAAACAGGAUUAGAUACCCUGGUAGUCCACGCCGUAAAC